CGUUGUUGCCAUAGGUUUGCUGCAUACUCUUACCCCCAGAACUCUGCCUCUCCAAGCAUAAAAGUGACAAUAACCUUUUCAAGAUGUAAGUAAAUCAGUAUGUUUGUAAAAUGAUUAUUCUUUACUAACAAUUAUUUUUCAUGCCCAAAUAUGUUUUUAUUUAAAAAAAUCAUUUCUGCUUCCUCUGUGUCUCCAAAGUAUAUGCUGUGAUUGGGCAUUAAAGAAGAGUUAGUAAGGGCCAUUUAUAAAUGGUGGGCAAAUUUGCACCUGGGCAGUAACCCAUGGCAACCAAUCAGAUGAUUGCUUGCAAUAUUCAGCUUGUAGCUGGCUGAAAAAAACUAGGAUUAGUUGACACAGGUUACUGGCCAAGUGGAAAUUUCCCCUGUGUUUAUAAAUGAGGGCCCCUGAGCGAGCCCAAUGUACAUUAUGCUUAAACUCACAGUAAAAACAAAACUUGCAUUGGAUUUGUUUUGACUCCAGCUAAAGAGAUGUUCUUUUCCCAGCCCCCAACACUUUCUCUUAUUUGUAAGCUAUCAUUUAUAUAUAUAUCUGUUGAUAAAAACAAAGAAAUGGGCAGCCACUGUUUGAGACAUGUUUAGUGGAAUUUUUACUGUUACAUGUGGCAUAACAAGAAGCAAUUAGAAAAUAAACACAGACCCCUGUUAGACCCUCCCUGAUUUGUGCACUCCACUUGUUUUCUCUUUUCAUAUGUUUUCUGCAAGGAGGAUUAUUGUUGUUCUGGUAUACAACACAUGUAUUCAUGAUUAUUUCAAUAUUCCAGAACAAUUCAUUACUUUCAAGGAAUUUUUAGGUAUUCAGAGAAGGCCAAAGAGAUGCAAAGCGGUUUUCAGCAAAGAAAAAUCAAUACACAAACAAUUGCAAGGUUUUAUCAUGCCUUGGUUUGAAAGCAAAAACUUGGUAACUUGUUAACUAUUUUUUUCAUUUUCAUGAGCAUUCUUUUUCACCACUAGAUGGUGCUUUAGGCAAAGGCUCUUUCCAAAGGCAUGGAAACUCCAAUUCCAAGUUGCUCCAGUGCUUAGUGUUAGUUAAAAAAAAACAUAUAACUUUUAAUUAUACACAAUAUAACAUGUAUCAUAUGUGUCUGACAAACCUACUAUGAAAUCACAUAUACACAUCUUUUUAUGUAGGUUCAGUAAAAAAAUAUGUACACUGAUUAAUAAUUACUAACUGGUAGAAAAGCAUCCUUUAGGCAAAGAUACAGUAUAAUUAAAUCUAGUACAAUUAUAGUGCAAUAAUGAGUACUGCAUUGCAAGUGUGAGCAGAGGAUUAUAAAAGAAUCACAGCUGAAUAAGUAUAAAUAUUUAGUAGCUGGGGAAACAGGUAAAUGUACCUGGAUAGGCAUGUCAUCGCACUAGAAGUACCAAGUAGUUCUCCUGCCCAACAGUCUGCUUAACAGUUCCAUGUUCACACCAUCUGUGUAUCAGAAAUCACCUCUAUUCCUCUUGUAUGCACAUGGUUAGUCCAGCAUCUGCCCAAAACAUUGCACCUUUCUAUAUGGUAGAUAUCUUGAUCUCUUGAUUAACUUUUAAUUAAUCUGUGUGUCUGUGGAUACACGCAAUAACAAAUUGGGAUCGGGAGCACACCCUGUAUAGGGUAGAUUUUCCUUCCAGUGGGGCAACUAGUGGAUCCAUGGCCAAAGGACAAUGUCAUGAAGCUGAUGCACUAUAAUGAAACCUUGUGAGAACAUAUUUUAAAGCAAACGAUAUAGUGAGUGGACCUCUAUGGUAUGCAACUGACUGUCCCAAGGACAGAACAGGUUGAUACCCUAUGACUUGCCAUAAAUGUGGAUGGCACAUCUAUUGUUCCAAUUGGAACUGCAAAAACCAUAACACACCACAGUACACCUGUGAAAAUGGUGCAUCAGCAGAUGAAGUAUUUAAAUUUCACAGAUCACCAGAAUCACAGAAUGAUCUGACCUAGACAGUCAGGUUCUGAGGCAUUGUACGAGAUGGCAUUGCCUAUGAAAACAUGGGUACAUAGACCAAGACUGAAUGCUGAAACACCAAUUAUCUGUUGCAUUUGCUUUUCUUGUCGAUCUUUGUAAGUGUUGUUACAGACCAGUUUGGCAGAGAUUCAUCAAGAAGAAAAGAGAGAGAAGCUGAUUGAUCUACUAGAAGAGGUUGAAAUGACUGAAUGUAUAGAAAAAUGAAAGAACAGAAGAAAAGGCAGAGAACAUGUUGCAACUAAAGAGUAGGGUAGUCAUCUUGAAACUAUUACAGCGUAUGUCUGCUGAAUAGAUACACAAGAAAUUAAUAUCCUGCAAUUAUCCAGCUGUUGCUGAUCAAGGACACAGCACUAUUUCCAUAUGAAAGAACAGAUUCUCAUGAAGCUAAUUUGUUCAUGCAUCCAUGUUCUGUUUUGUUCAGAGCAAAAGAAUAUCAUCAUAAAAUAUGAAGAAAUGAUAAUUCUGCAAAUUGUGCUCUGCUGUGCCAUGAAAACAAUGCCAGACCAAACUUAUAACACCCUAGCCAGUUAUAUCAUAAUCCCCUUGAUUAUACUGUACCUACCACAAACUCCUUCGACUAUCAGAAAUCACAACUCCCUAAGCACUUUCUUGUGUGUUCAUUAGCAAGCCAAGAAAGGAAAUGGGAUAAAAGAAUCAAUACAGUGCACAUUAACGUUGAGCUCUUAUGAUCUGCCAAAGACUUGCAUAAAUCUUCCUUCAAGGACCAUAGGCUUCAAUUAUAUGUGACACAAUUGAGACAAUGAAAUAAAUGAACUUUUUAA